UUUUGUGCAGCCUGUUGCAGCAUAAAUGAAACAGGCAAACUUUUCAAGACCAGUGCAAUCUAAAUUAGGAUCAACGUUUUUAGUCUUUGAUCACAGCAAGUUGUCUUUGAAAGAUAAGGCCGGGCUCAAUAGGGAAAAGAGAAGAGCCUUCUUAUAUUUUGGUAGAUAAACAAUUGGAAAUUUUGGUGUGUUCUGCUUGUUACUUUUCCAGUAAAAUGAUUUGCAUGGUGAAAUGCCGUUUUGUAAUCUGAAUAAUAAUGUACAGUUGUUUUGGUUU
rnacentral:sRNA from 1 species